rnacentral:rRNA from 1 species
ACACAUGCAAGUCGAGGGGUAUAGUAGCGAUACUAGAGACCGGCGCACGGGUGCGUAACGCGUAUGCAAUCUACCUUUUGCAGAGGGAUAGCCCAGAGAAAUUUGGAUUAAUACCUCAUAGUAUAACGACUCGGCAUCGAGAUGUUAUUAAAGUCACAACGGCAAAAGAUGAGCAUGCGUCCCAUUAGUUAGUUGGUAAGGUAACGGCUUACCAAGACUACGAUGGGUAGGGGUCCUGAGAGGGAGAUCCCCCACACUGGUACUGAGACACGGACCAGACUCCUACGGGAGGCAGCAGUGAGGAAUAUUGGACAAUGGGCGCAAGCCUGAUCCAGCCAUGCCGCGUGCAGGAUGACGGUCCUAUGGAUUGUAAACUGCUUUUGCACAGGAAGAAACAACGCUACGUGUAGCGUCUUGACGGUACUGUGAGAAUAAGGAUCGGCUAACUCCGUGCCAGCAGCCGCGGUAAUACGGAGGAUCCAAGCGUUAUCCGGAAUCAUUGGGUUUAAAGGGUCCGUAGGCGGUCUUAUAAGUCAGUGGUGAAAUCUCCCCGCUCAACGGGGAAACGGCCAUUGAUACUGUAGGACUUGAAUUAUUAGGAAGUAACUAGAAUAUGUAGUGUAGCGGUGAAAUGCUUAGAGAUUACAUGGAAUACCAAUUGCGAAGGCAGGUUACUACUAAUGGAUUGACGCUGAUGGACGAAAGCGUGGGUAGCGAACAGGAUUAGAUACCCUGGUAGUCCACGCCGUAAACGAUGGAUACUAGCUGUUGGGCGCAAGUUCAGUGGCUAAGCGAAAGUGAUAAGUAUCCCACCUGG